rnacentral:misc_RNA from 1 species
ACUUCUGCCACGCGACCCAUUUGGAUUUUACCUGGUUGAAACAAAAAAACAUCGUUACUAUGGAUUUUUACAAUUUAAUUUCCUUUUCCCUUACCGUUUGAAUUUAGUGUGUUUCCGUGUCUGCCAAUGGAUUGUUUCAGGUUUUAAAUAUUUCCUCGACACUGUCAAUGGAUGUUUUAAUUUUUAAUUUAAAAAAAAAAAGAUUCUGAAUCAAGUGAAACUGGGAUGGAUUUUCCUAAUAUGGUCAUGUUGUGAUUCUGACGUUAUGGAUUCUAAAUUUUUUCUUUACCAAAUUCAUUACGCCAAUUAACAACUUUGAAAUAAAAUACUUUUCAUACAAAACAAAAUGUGUUCUAUCUCAAUUUCCCGCACUCAUUUUACAGAGAACAUAUUGAAUCAAGACUCUCUCUUUGUCUCGAUAAUGGCCAAGCACACCUGUUCAUCUGAAUCUUGAUGUCAAGUUUCUGUGGGAAGAACUUUCCUAGUAUUAAAGUAUACCUGUUUUUACAAGUAAUUUACGAUAAACUUAAAUACCCUUCCU